UAAGCAGUGCUAGGUGUUAUGAAGAGAAGACAUCAAAGGAUAUGUUUUUAAUGCAUCUUUCUGCCACUCUAUGGAAACCUAACAGAGUCUUUGUUACCGUGAGGCAAAAGACAGAAAGAACUUCAUUCCAAAAAUCAAGAUCAGAACUUUUUCAGGUGACCUUCAAAGUGGAUAUCACCACUGAGGUACUUUGUCACAAUGAUACAACCUUGUGAAACCUUGUUGUCAAGGCAAAUAGAGCCAGUAUUGUGAAAGGUGGAGCAGGAAGUCAGGAAAAUCAGAUCUACUACUAUGAUGACUGCUGGUUGGUCCUGCAAGACUGCAGUGGCAGGAUCACUACAGGCCUCAGCCAUGUACUUGAGUACAUCCUUCCUCCGCAGGAGCUCCGUUCCAGAACCAUCUGCAGAGACGAUGAAAAACCUGCACAGCCAAACACACACGUGGGGCUGUAUCAAGAAAGCAGAACUCCAACAUGGUGGCAUCAAAUGUGCAAAUACAGAGUACUGAACAAAUGGAGCACAAGUCUAUAAACCCUGUACAAAUACUGUGUUGUGAAGAAAAGAAAGUGUUAAGCUAUGAAUGCAAUGCAGUUUACCUGGGGGCAU